CUUAUAAAAACCCAAACCCUACUCUCAAAUCACUCAGCCUCCCUCAUUCUCUCUCUCCUCUCCUCUCCUCUCCUCUCUCUCCUGAUCUCAUCUCAUCUCCUCUCCUCUCCACAUCUCAUCUCCUCUUUCCUGCUCUCUCAUCUCACCACAACCGCCGCCGUCGUCCCUCUUCUUAUCUUUCUUGCUCUCUCGUCUCACCACCACCGCCGCCGUCGACUUCUUUCCCCUCUAAAUCUCUCCGACCUCCCUCUCUCCCUCUUCUCUCCCCUCUAUCCCUCUUUUUCCCCUCUCGAUCUCUCCGACCUCCCUCUGUCUUCUGCCCACCACCACUAACGCCACUAACCACCGCCGCCACCAAGUCCGAAAUCAACCACAACUUGUAAAAUUCGAGGUUAUUUUCAGGUAAAAUUCGAGGUAUAAUGAUUUAUAUCUUAAAUUGAAGAAUCAAGAUUCAGGAAUAUUGAUAUAGAUGUUGUAUGGGUUUUUUUUAAUUUUAAUGUUGUAACUUUUAUUUUUUGAUUUAUAUUGUAAAUUUUUUUAUUUGUAUGUUGUAAUUGUUAGAUUAUAUUGAUUUAUAUUGUAAUUUUGAUGUCUGUAAUUGUGAUCUACAUCGAGCAAUUAGUAGAUUAGAAAACUGUUCAGUAAUAAAAUUAUGAUGUUGCGUUUCC